CCUACGGGUGGCAGCAGUGGGGAAUAGUGCACAAUGGAGGGAACUCUGAUGCAGCGACGCCGCGUGAGUGAAGAAGGAAUUCGGUAUGUAAAGCUCUAUCAGCAGGGAAGAAAGUGACGGUACCUGAAAAAGAAGCUCCGGCGAAAUACGUGCCAGCAGCCGCGGUAAUACGUAUGGAGCAAGCGUUAUCCGGAUUUACUGGGGGUAAAGGGAGAGUAGGUGGCAGAGCCAGUCCGAAGUGAAAACCCAACGCUCAACUAUGGGAAUGCUUUAGAAACUGCUCAGCUAGAGUGCAGGAGAGGCCAGUGGCAUUCUUAGUGUAGCGGUGAAAUGCGUCGAUAUUAGGCGGCACCCCAGUGGCGAAGGCGGCUUGCUGGACUGUAACUGACACUGAGGCUCG
rnacentral:rRNA from 1 species